rnacentral:lncRNA from 1 species
CCUUAGGGAAAAAAAGCAAAUCCUACAGGAUAUUAUUUUUCCUAUAGGAUAUUUUGACUAUUAAAACAAUCCUGUAGGAUAAAAAAAAAUCCUAUAGAAUUAAUAAAAAUCCUAAGGGAUUUCAUCAUAGAAAAAAAAUAUUCUAAGGGAGAAAACAAAUCCAAUGGGAUAAACAAAAAUAUAAGGGAGAAUAAAAAUCAUGAGGGAAAAUAAAAAAUCCUAAGGGAGAAUAUAAAAAAAUCCUAUGGGAGAUUAGAAAAAAAAUUACCGGGGAAGAAGAUCCUAUGGGAGAAAAAAGUUAGUUAUGUUCUAUUACUUUCUAAAAGUAUUGAAUAUUUUACCAAAGAGGGGCAAAAGAUACCAGAGUCAAAGAUCGUAAAUAAACUGACAACACCAUGGCUAAAAAAAAAAGACAAACAAACAAAUAAUAGUACACAAGUCACAACAUAGAAAACUAAGUAUUAAGCAACACAAUCCCCACCAAAAACAGGGGGUGGUCUCUAGCGC